rnacentral:tRNA from 1 species
GCCCUUGUGGCGUAGUGGUAGCGCGUCGCACUUGUAAUGCGAAGGUCUCUAGUUCAAUCCUGGACGGGGGCA